CACUGGCUGGAUGGCCAAAUCACCCCUGACAGGCCAGAGCUUUUCAUGCGGCGCUGCGAGUGUUUGUGUGGCACACUGUACAAAAGAGCAGGGACACACAGGACCCUCUUCAGCACGUCAGGCUGCCCGCUGUUUGCUCAGACUGCCGAGGGGCUUCACGGGGCCGGAGGUCCGUCUGCCGUCGAUGAAUGCACGUCUGGAUCCCAACUGGAUGCUCAUCAACUCCACAAGGACAUCCUAACUUCAAACUGAAGCUCCUCUCCCGUCUGAGAAACUGAGGCAGCAGGAAUGAUCAUCAGACUGGGAAGACUGACACCGGGAUACUUCCGCCUCCUCCAGAGGCAGAUGUCGGGUGAGGUCCAGAUUCAGCCGCAGAGCAGCCUCAUUGAUCCCAUCGCCAUGACGAUGGCCGCGGUGGGGAUGGGAGUGUCUCUGUACAGCGCCAGGCGGAUGUCAGAGAGAGUCCAGCUGAAGCGGCCAAACGCCUGAGAGAUCUCACCUGUUCACCGGUUCAGUUUAUGCUGCGCGGGCGGUUCAUGCGACAUGUGUUUGUGAACGUCAGAGAAAGUCAGCGGAGGAGGAGUGUGUUUAUGUGUGUGGGUGUGUCUGUGUGGUGCUAGAAGGAAAAUCUAAGUGUCCCCGAAGGAAAAUGUGAGUCGGUCAUCAGCAUGUCACAUGUGUGAAGCUGCAUUAGAGUUUAGUUUUAAUUUAAAAAUGUGUAUAAUACAGAUGUAAUCCAAUUCAAUUUUAUUUAAAUAGAACCAAAUCACAACAACAGUCACCUCAAGGUGCUUUUUAUUGUGAGCUAAAAAUCCUACAAUAAUACAAGGAAAACAGAGAAAAGCCCAGCAAUGAUUAGACCCCCUAUGAACAAGUGCUUUGGUGACAGUGGGAAGGAAAAACUCCUUUUUAACAGGAAGAAACAUCCAGCAGAACUAAUGUAAGUAGAAAAUCUUACAAACGUAUUUUAUUCAUUAAUAUUAGUCACAAAUGCACCUUUCCGGGCAUUUCUUGUAGUUUGUAUAUAAAGCAUUGAGCAGCAUCACAUCUGAGGAUUUCUUCACUAAUCACACUAAGCAUCUUUGAAGCAUCUUCGAAUGACUUACUGAAGAAAAUGUCUGUAAAUGUAAGAUGCUAACUCAGAGAUAUCUACACUUAUUUGUGCGCCUAAUAAAAAUGCUCACAUUUUCUGA